CCUACGGGAGGCAGCAGUGAGGAAUAUUGGUCAAUGGGCGCGAGCCUGAACCAGCCAAGUCGCGUGAGGGAAGACGGCCCUACGGGUUGUAAACCUCUUUUGCCGGGGAGCAACGGGCGCCACGUGUGGCGCCACUGAGAGUACCCGGAGAAAAAGCAUCGGCUAACUCCGUGCCAGCAGCCGCGGUAAUACGGAGGAUGCGAGCGUUAUCCGGAUUUAUUGGGUUUAAAGGGUGCGUAGGCGGAGCGUUAAGUCAGUGGUCAAAUUGAGGGGCUCAACCCCUUCCCGCCAUUGAAACUGGCGCUCUUGAGUGCAGUUGAGGUAGGCGGAAGUCGUGGUGUAGCGGUGAAAUGCUUAGAUAUCACGCAGAACUCCGAUUGCGAAGGCAGCAUACCGGCGCCCGACUGACGCUGAAGCACGAAAGCGUGGGUAUCGAACAGGAUUAGAUACCCGAGUAGUC
rnacentral:rRNA from 1 species